rnacentral:rRNA from 1 species
AUGGCGGCCAACGGCGAGAGACAGCGGGAGGAGGCCAGGGAGCUCGCAAAGUACGAGGAGGACCGCAAAGACUUCAAGGUGUCCAUGUACCUGAUCGCCAUGCUCAUCGCGGUCGCCUUGGCGUUCCUGGUCACCAGCUUUCUCGUCCCGCGCACGCCCGGGUGGUACCUCACCUUCUUCUUGCAGUUCGCCGUGGUCUUCUUCCUUGAUGCCGCGUUCUUCUUCUGCCUCAUUACGCGGAGAUUCGGCUCGUUCGCUUUGCCCCAGAGGCCUGCCCCGUGGAGAAGACAAGCCGGAUCUCGAAAACCAGCUCGGUGCGGUGGAGGCGACGGGCGCUGA